ACUCCUACGGGAGGCAGCAGUGAGGAAUAUUGGACAAUGGGCGCAAGCCUGAUCCAGCCAUGCCGCGUGCAGGAUGACGGUCCUAUGGAUUGUAAACUGCUUUUGUACGAGAAGAAACACUGCUUCGUGAAGCAGCUUGACGGUAUCGUAAGAAUAAGGAUCGGCUAACUCCGUGCCAGCAGCCGCGGUAAU
rnacentral:rRNA from 1 species